rnacentral:pre_miRNA from 1 species
UCUUAUGGAUGAACAAAGAAAGUAGUUUCUUGAGAUCUAGAGUGUAUUUCUGGUGAAGAUGCUGUGAA